rnacentral:rRNA from 1 species
UACGUAGGGGGCAAGCGUUGUCCGGAAUCAUUGGGCGUAAAGCGCGUGUAGGCGGCUCGGUAAGUCUGCUGUGAAAGUCCAGGGCUCAACCCUCGGAUGCCGGUGGAUACUGUCGGGCUUGAGUACGGAAGAGGCGAGUGGAAUUCCUGGUGUAGCGGUGAAAUGCGCAGAUAUCAGGAGGAACACCGGUGGCGAAGGCGGCUUUCUGGACGAUAACUGACGCUGAGACGCGAAAGCGUGGGGAGCAAACAGG